rnacentral:rRNA from 1 species
UUUGAUGGCGACCGGCGCACGGGUGAGUAACACGUAUCCAACCUGCCGAUGACUCGGGGAUAGCCUUUCGAAGGAAAGAUUAAUACCCGAUGGCAUAGUUCUUCCGCAUGGUAGAACUAUUAAAGAAUUUCGGUCAUCGAUGGGGAUGCGUUCCAUUAGGUUGUUGGCGGGGUAACGGCCCACCAAGCCUUCGAUGGAUAGGGGUUCUGAGAGGAAGGUCCCCCACAUUGGAACUGAGACACGGUCCAA